AUUGAACGCUGGCGGCAGGCCUAACACAUGCAAGUCGAGCGAGCGGCGGACGGGUGAGUAAUGUCUGGGAAACUGCCUGAUGGAGGGGGAUAACUACUGGAAACGGUAGCUAAUACCGCAUACCAUCAGAUGUGCCCAGAUGGGAUUAGCUAGUAGGUGGGGUAACGGCUCACCUAGGCGACGAUCCCUAGCUGGUCUGAGAGGAUGACCAGCCAAACUGGAACGGAGACACGGUCCAGACGCCUACGGGAGGAGGCAGUGGGGAAUAUUGCACAAUGGGCGCAAGCCUGAUGCAGCCAUGCCGCGUGUGUGAAGAAGGCCUUCGGGUUGUAAAGUACUUUCAGCGGGGAGGCGUUACCCGCAGAAGAAGCACCGGCUAACUCCGUGCCAGCCGCCGCGGUAAUACC
rnacentral:rRNA from 1 species